rnacentral:rRNA from 1 species
AGAACGAACGCUGGCGGCAGGCUUAACACAUGCAAGUCGAACGCCCCGCAAGGGGGAGUGGCAGACGGGUGAGUAACGCGUGGGAACCUACCCAAUUCUACGGAACAACUGAGGGAAACUUCAGCUAAUACCGUAUACGCCCUACGGGGGAAAGAUUUAUCGGAGUUGGAUGGGCCCGCGUUGGAUUAGCUAGUUGGUGAGGUAACGGCUCACCAAGGCGACGAUCCAUAGCUGGUCUGAGAGGAUGAUCAGCCACACUGGGACUGAGACACGGCCCAGACUCCGUACGGGAGGCAGCGAGGUGGGAAUAGUUGGACAAGUGGGCGCAAGCCUGAUCCAGCCAUCGCCGCGUAGAGUGAUGGAACGGUCCGUUUAGGGUAGUAAAGCUUCUUUACGAGGUGGGGAA